rnacentral:lncRNA from 1 species
UAACAUAAAUUAAAUCUAUGCUAAUUUGCUCCCUUUCCUGACUAUCAAACUCCUGAUACUCUGUACUUCAUUUGACCCUCAGCAGAAUCUGGAAAAGUCCUAAUUCUGUUUUAGAGGAUAAUGUUUGAUUGUAGUUUUUCAGAGACUCACUUACCAUUUUUAUAAAUUUGCUUCCUGCUCAAAGAAUAGUUUGUCCUUUGUCCCCCAAAUCAGUCAGUCACUGCCCACCUACCAUUUUCUCUUGGGAAAAGAUUUUAGUCUUUUAAAGGUUUUAGAAGUAUUGCCUGGUAGCAAAUCAUGUACACAGAUAGAUAAUUGUGUGAUAUUGGAUCACCUCUUUAAACAGGUCCUUUAUGAAAACCACAUUGAAUUUGUAAAUAGAGGUUUUUUUAUUUUAUAUCUUGGAUAGAUUUUUAUUUGAUAAUAUAUUCAGGUUAUUUAAGUUGUCUUACUUUUUAGAACCCCAGAAUAGCACCACUCUUGCUUUUAACUCAGUUCAAGAGGAGUUUGAUUUGGAAACACUGACAUACCCACCAAGAAGAAUGAAAUUGUACACUGCGUACAAUACAGGUGUAUCGUUUGGGGUUAUUGAGCCGUAAGCCACAGAAACUGACUCUGG